rnacentral:rRNA from 1 species
GACGAACGCUGGCGGCGUGCUUAACACAUGCAAGUCGAACGGAAAGGCCCUGCUUUUGUGGGGUGCUCGAGUGGCGAACGGGUGAGUAACACGUGAGUAACCUGCCCUUGACUUUGGGAUAACUUCAGGAAACUGGGGCUAAUACCGGAUAGGAGCUCCUGCUGCAUGGUGGGGGUUGGAAAGUUUCGGCGGUUGGGGAUGGACUCGCGGCUUAUCAGCUUGUUGGUUGGGUAGUGGCUUACCAAGGCUUUGACGGGUAGCCGGCCUGAGAGGGUGAACGGCCACAUUGGGACUGAGAUACGGAGCAGACUCCUACGGGAGGCAGCAGUGGGGAAUAUUGCACAAUGGGCGGAAGCCUGAUGCAGCAACGCCGCGUGCGGGAUGACGGCCUUCGGGUUGUAAACAGCUUUAGCCUGUGACGAAGCGUGAGUGACGGUAAUGGGUAAAGAAGCACCGGCUAACUACGUG